ACCCAACUGAUGAGUCCCAAAUAGAAUGAAACGCGCGUCCUGGAU
rfam:Schistosoma mattheei strain Denwood, Zambia genome assembly, scaffold: SMTD_scaffold0003712